GUAAGUUAUUUUAAACCUCUAAGGUUGUGGCAAUUUGCUAUGCAGCAAUAGGUAAAUACGCUGGCCAUCAGAGUCGAAAGCCCCAGCCUUAGGCUUUCGGUUCCUCAGAGCGUGUUAGACUAAAGUCUACCAUCUUCCCCAAACUGUGAAGAUCUACAUUAAGCUCCCCACAUGGUCCCAUUCUAGCCUCUGUCUCUGAGCUUAGAGACGAGGGGAAAGAUCUUCCUUCCUUCUCCGACAGAGGGAGGAAGGAGAAAACCCCACAGAACGUCAACAGUUUUCUUCCAAUGGAAUUCUCCAAUAAAGCUCUCAAGGAAUAUUCUGUUUCUAGCAAAAUUCUCUGGGUUCCAACUUAGUCUUUAAACUUCUUUUAUAGGCUAGUUGAGAGAACCGUUUUUGGCUAACUCUCUUGUAAUUUCUGCUUGGGUGAAUGGCAUUUCAUUUUGUAAACUGAAAGCAAUUGUCAACUCCAUGGCAAAUCAAGAACAGGGGCAGUCCCUCCAGGUGCAGGCAAUAGGGGAAGCAUUGUCUGUAGAAACUUUUAAAACAAUAGCAGAACUGCCAUCUGCCUUUUAUCAUCCACGUGUAAGCAAUUCUAAAUAUACUGAUAAUAAAAUACUCCUUCCCCGAAAAAAAAAUCUUCUGUUGGUCUAGAUUCUAAUCUAAAAAUGACCUGUUCCUUGCCUGUUCCUGUUCCCUCCCACCGCCCUACCCUUGCAAUGACACUGUGUUAUCUAUUGUCUCUUGGCCUCAGAUGGAACUGAGCAGUCUCCUGCCCACACAAACAGAGGAAGACACUGAGAAGUGAAGGGACUUGCUCGAGACCAAAUAUUUUGUGUUUGAGGAAGUAAAUGGGUGAGGAAGAUUGGUGCUGAGCCAACAUCUACUGCCAAUCUUACUCUUUUUGCUUGAGGAAGAUUGUCAUGAGCCAAUAUCCAUGCCAAUCUUCCUCUAUGUUGCAUGUGGGACACUUGCCAUAGCAUAGCUUAAUGAGAAGAGUGUCUGUCCACGCCCAGAUCCGAACCCGCAAACCCUGGGCUACUGAAGCGAAGCACACAAAUUUAACCACUACGCCACUAGACCAGCCCCAAAGGGGUUUAACUUUUUAAAUUUUUCCUUGGGAAUUUGAUAGUGAAAGAAGGUUUACAUCAAACACUGCAGCAUAAUUCUACUGUUGAUAAUGUAGAAUUAAAAAAUUUUCUCUCAUCAUUUGAAUUUAUUAUGUACCAUUUUGGGAGCUAUAUUGGACAACAUGGCCUAACAUAAUAAAAAAUGAGAAGCCAAAGAGAAAUUGAAAAAUUUUAAAUGAAUUUUUAUAUUAAAACCACUUUUUAAUUCCUUAUUGGAAGAUCUGAGAAUUUCCCUAUGGAUUAAGCAAUUGCAGGCUUGCCAUCCAGGCCUUCAAAUUUGUACCAAAUGGUAAGGGAGCUCCUAGAAGCUGCAUUUUCUCCAGUUCUCAUCCUCACUGUGGCUUUGGAAGACAACGGACCAAGGAAAUCUUCCUGGAGAAUAGAACUGCGAAUAAAUGAACUGUCUGACCAAGGAGCACGUGUCACCGUUUGGACCAAGCUCCCGUGAUAUUCUUAUGCGGUGUUCAUUGGAGGAGAGUUUGACUUGACUUCCUUUUGGGAAAAGCUGAGUGCACAUCAUGGAGCUGUGAUCCUUGGUGGAAGUGUGUAUCAGAAGAAAAAUGUACUUGCAUGAGGAAUAGCCAGAGGAGUGAACUGCACCACAAACUUGUUGUUUCUGCGUUCCUCUCCCAACAAUCUAUGACUUCUGUUUGGGUAUCCCGGUAGUUCUGAGGAACAGACUCCACCCCCUUCUCCAGCUCCGGUUCUGGGCUGUCAUCCCCCACUCCCACGGCAGUGAUCCAUUCAGUGCGGACACGUGACCUAACGUGGUUCAGUCAGAUUGAUUCUCAGUAGUUCUGAAACUUCAGACAAAAACACUGUUCUUCCCAACUAUGGGGUAGUAUGUGGAUGCAAGCCCUGUUCUCGAUGUAGACAUUUUUGUUAACAGCAGGGAAUCAGCCUGAGGAUGAAGCCAAAACGCCACAGACAGCAGAGCCAAGAAUUUGGGCUGCAGGCUCCGUGACAUCAUAAACUGCUGCUCUAAUCUUGUCUGAACUUUGCCCUGACUCUGUCCUUUUUGGAUACGUAAGCCUAUAAAUUUUGUUUAGUUUUAAGGAAGGUGGUUAAGUUUUAAUUGUAUUAAUUGAAAAGCUCAUGACACAUUAUCAUUGUAUGCAUCAUGUUUUCUUAUGCAAAUAUAUGCAUAGAAUGAAUUCCUGGCAGUAGAAUUUCCAAGCAUAAAUUGCCCAAUUAAAACAGACACACACAAAAAUAAGGUUAGAAACUGACAUGAAAUAGUGUAUAUUAGGUGGAAACAUGUCUCUUAUGUCAAUAUUUGUAAAUGUAAAAAACACAUUAAUAGGAAGAUUCUUAGAUUAAGUCACAAAACAAAACCCAGUAACAUUUUAUAUAUGACACAGUUAAGCCAAAUGAUUGUGUGAAAAAUAUGUGUUCUUGGUGAGAGUGACUACUAGCUUAGUUAUGAUUGGUAGUUUAAUUGGAGGUACAACUAGCCUUGCUGCUUAGAUACUAAAUCUCAAAAAGGAGCCCUUCAAAUAUUACUUGAAUACAUCUAGGCCUUCUUGUUCUCCUUGGUGGAGCAAAGAAUGCAUAUAACAGUCUCACCAUCUGAGCAUUGAGAACAAUGCAAAUCUUUAAGUCUCUUAAAAUGUCAGCAAAAUGGUGGGGGAGGGAGGGCAUGAUUUCAUCAGAGCACACGGAAUGAAACUUUCUCAAGGCAGUUUCUUACCAGAAUCUUAUUUACCCAUGGCAGCCCUUUCUCCACUGUUUCUUCCCUCUUCUUCACACUGUCUAGCCUCCUCUAGCAACUUUUCUGUUUUCUUGGAAAAAUUUCAUGAACUUUUUUGUUUUUUGUUUUUUUUGGUGAAGAAGAUUGGCCCUGAGCUAAUGCCUGUUGCCAAUUUUCCUCUUUUUUACUUGAGGAAGAUUGGCCCUGAGGUAACAUCUGUGCCAGCCUUCCUCUAUUUUGUAUGUGGGUUGCCACCCCAACAUGGCUUGAUGAGUGGUGUAGGGCCGUGCCUGAGAUCCGAACCCAUGAAUCCAGGCUGCCAAAGCAGAGUAUGCCAAACUUAACCACUAUACCACCAGCCCAGCUCCACUUUUUUUUUUAAUAGAAAGAGAAAUAAAUUUUCCUAUUUAUAAAAUAUAAGAAGGAAAAGGGCCCUGGGUAUAAAAUCUAAAUGUCUAGGAUGUGAAUGGUCGGGAACACAUAAUAUGACUCUGCUUCCGUCAGUCAUGAGUGUGAGGUGCAAGGAAAAUAGGGCCUGAGAGCUCUUUCUGUACCAGACAGAAAACCUCACAAGAGUAAGAGCCACAGAGCCUCUGUGAAGAAGAUGGAUCAGAGAGAAGUGAAUGGUGUAGAGCAGAAAUUUAACUCUCUCUCUCAAUUUCUUUUCUUCGUAAGCCUACCCCUAAGACUCUGGCCUAGUUGGUGGUCCUCCCAAAAGGAUUAGCUCAUAGUAGAAAUGUGUGCACGUGGGACGGGAGAUAGAGGGAGGGACUCCAGCAGAGGAAAUGUUUACGAAUGCACACACUCUAAGAUCACCUGUCUGCCACAGAGCCAUAGGUUUCCUCUCAUAGUUGUUAACCAAUGUGUAAGUACAAUUUUGUAUGCUAGUUUUUCCCUUAAAGUGAUGGCAUAAAGAUUUUACCAUGGCUGUAUCAACUCUUCAUCAAUACUGUCUCUAACUUUAAUAUCAGUGCAAUAUUUCUUUGGGUCUAGAAUAUCUUAAUCUAAUUAGAUAGUCUUCAUUUUUGUGCAUUUGUAUCAAACUUUCUUUAUGUGAUAAAUAAUGUGCUCCCCCCUUUGCAUUGAGAAACACAAAAAUGACUUGUUUACUGUCACAGAGACCUUUGUUUCUCCAAUUCAGAUAGGUAAAUUGUCUAAAUUCUGUACUCUGGGCCCUAGAAAUGAAGGAUAGAAAAUGAGGAGAGGAAAAGAAACCAAGCCGUUCUUGAGGAAAGAAAUGGGAAAAGGAGUUAUAAGGAGGCGAUAAAAUUGUUUCUUCUCCAGGACAAACAAGUGAAAAAAUUGGGCUCCCCUCCCACCAGGAAUUCUGGCUCCCACUUAUGGAUCCUGAGACUGGCAGAUUUUUCCAGGCUGUGGAAAACUGAUACUCAGCUGAGGAAUCACAUCACAGGCUGUAACACUUAAUGUUAUUAUUUUUCACUUGAUUGUGCAAAAGAAGUGUGUUAAUAUGACUUCUAGGACUGAUACCAAGUAAGUACACUGCCUACAAUUGCUGCUUUGUCUUAUUUUGCUCUUGUUCCAAAUUCAAAUGAUUUUAUCCAUCACUUCAUUCAUCGCUUAAGGAGAUGAC
rnacentral:lncRNA from 1 species